UGCACUGGAAGAAUGGGGUGGAGCCACCAGGAAUUCGUGCCUUAUGCAGGCGGGAGCCGGGUCUCUUCAACUCGUGCGUGGUGGCCUGGUAUUCAAUUUUUGAGGUGGAAAACCUGAGUGCAGGACCCCUCUUGUUGAGAGUUUUCCUUUCCACCCUCCUCACUUUUCAAUGUGUCUGCAUGCCUAAUUUUUCUCGGUCAUGAGAUAAGGACCUGGAUUUUAGCUGAACUAAGGAGCAAAAAAUUGUGCAUCACAGAGGAAAAAUGAAGAAUGAGGAAUGAGCAGUGAGAAGUCAGAGGACAGAAUCUAAGACAACCCUGCAGUGACCUGGAAGUCAAGAGGGUGAAGAAAUAACAGUUCCCACUCUUUGACUUAAUGACUCUGGCUUUCCUCCCCAUCCUUCCAUACAAAGGUGACAAUUACUCCCAUGUUACUAACGCCAGUGGACACUUCACUUCUCAGAAGCAUUCAACAUAACUGCCAACUUCAUUCUUCUCAAAACAUUCUCUUCCUUUGACCCCCUGAUUUUCUUCUCCUGUUCUUCUGCUAUUUUUUGGCACAUCUUAAUCUCCUCUGCCUCCUCCUCAUUUUCUACUUAGCCAUAAAAUUUGCAGCUCCUUGAGGCUCUGUUGUAAGCCGUCUUUCCUUCUUAUUCUACACUCUUUCCCUAAGCACUCUCAUCCUCUCCUGUGGCUUCAUUAGCCAUCAGAAGGAUAACAGCUCUUGACUCUGUAUUUCCAGCUUCCUAAUUAGCAGCUCCACUUGAAUGUGUCACAGGACUCUCAACCUUAAGUCUAAAAAUGAACUUCCCACCCAAUCUUAUUCUUGUAUUUUUUAACUGAAUAAAAGGGUACACUGCUGGUUUGUCACCUGAAAACCUGAGACAUCUUUGACUCCUCCUUCAU
rnacentral:lncRNA from 10 species